CCGGAAUGAUUGGGCGUAAAGGGCGCGUAGGCGGUUGUUCAAGUCCGUAGUGGAAGUCCAGCUUUCAAGGUUGGAAGUGCUAUGGAAACUGAGCAACUUGAGUGCAGGAGAGGUUAUCGGAAUUCCCGGUGUAGCGGUGAAAUGCGUAGAGAUCGGGAGGAACACCAGUGGCGAAGGCGGGUAACUGGACUGCAACUGACGCUGAGGCGCGAAGGUGUGGGGAGCAAACAGGAUUAGAUACCCUGGUAGUCCACACGGUAAACGAUGAAUGCUAGGUGUAGGGGGUAUCGACCCCUUCUGUGCCGGAGUUAACACAAUAAGCAUUCCGCCUGGGGAGUACGGUCGCAAGAUUAAAACUCAAAGGAAUUGACGGGGGCCCGCACAAGCAGCGGAGCAUGUGGUUUAAUUCGAAGCAACGCGAAGAACCUUACCAGGUCUUGAUAUCCAGUAAAGCCUGUAGAGAUACAGAGUCCCUUCGGGGGUACUGAGACAGGUGGUGCAUGGUUGUCGUCAGCUCGUGUCGUGAGAUGUUGGGUUAAGUCCCGCAACGAGCGCAACCCUUGCCGAUAGUUACUAACAAGUUGUGUUGAGGACUCUAUUGGGACCGCCGGGGACAACUCGGAGGAAGGUGGGGACGACGUCAAAUCAUCAUGCCCCUUAUGACCUGGGCUACACACGUGCUACAAUGGCCGAGACAGAGAGCGGCGAAGAGCGAUCCGGAGCGUAUCCCAGAAAAGCGGUCACAGUUCGGAUUGUGGGCUGCAACCCGCCCACAUGAAGCAGGAGUUGCUAGUAAUCGCGAAUCAGC
rnacentral:rRNA from 1 species